rnacentral:rRNA from 1 species
CAGUAGCCGCGGUAAUACGAAGGGGGCUAGCGUUGUUCGGAUUUACUGGGCGUAAAGGGCGCGUAGGCGGGCUGAUAAGUCGGGGGUGAAAUCCCAAGGCUCAACCUUGGAACUGCCUUUGAUACUGUUGGUCUUGAGUCCGGGAGAGGUGAGUGGAACUGCGAGUGUAGAGGUGAAAUUCGUAGAUAUUCGCAAGGACACCAGUGGCGAAGGCGGCUCACUGGCCCGGAACUGACGCUGAGGCGCGAAAGCGUGGGGAGCAAACAGGAUUAGAUACCCCGGUAGUCCCUGUCUCUUAUAU